UAACACUUAUAAAUACAGUCUAGUUAUAGUUAUAUACUGAACCAUGACGUUUCUACAAUUAUAAAUAUAGUUGUUCCCAUGCCAACCAAGCUGGGUGUUAAGAUUACUUAUAAAAAUUCCAGGCAUGAUUCUUCAUCUUAAAACCAAUUCAGAAUUGAGUUUCUAUGAUAAAAGAGCGCAGUGCCUCUUGUCUUAAUCAAAGAAUUCAAUAUAUACAUCUCAAGUUUCAGAGUGGAGGAGAGGUCUGCUGAGUUUCUCUGAAACGAAAAGCCUCGGGGCCAUAGCCUAAGUGUAGUGCAGAGAGCUCGAUAAUGUCUCGUAGAGAAGACACCACGAAGACGAAGGUCUGAAAGCAGCAGGUGGCCACGGUGUGUUAGUCACCGAAGAGGAAGGUCUGAAAGCAGCAGGUGGCCACGGUGUGUUAGUCACCGAAGAGGAAGGUCUGAAAGCAGCAGGUGGCCACGGUGUGUUAGUCACCGAAGAGGAAGGUCUGAAAGCAGCAGGUGGCCACGGUGUGUUAGUCACCGAAGAGGAAGGUCUGAAAGCAGCAGGUGGCCACGGUGUGUUAGUCACCGAAGAGGAAGGUCUGAAAGCAGCAGGUGGCCACGGUGUGUUAGUCACCGAAGAGGAAGGUCUGAAAGCAGCAGGUGGCCACGGUGUGUUAGUCACCGAAGAGGAAGGUCUGAAAGCAGCAGGUGGCCACGGUGUGUUAGUCACCGAAGAGGAUGGUCUGAAAGCAGCAGGUGGCCACGGUGUGUUAGUCACCGAAGAGGAAGGUCUGAAAGCAGCAGGUGGCCACGGUGUGUUAGUCACCGAAGAGGAUGGUCUGAAAGCAGCAGGUGGCCACGGUGUGUUAGUCACCGAAGAGGAAGGUCUGAAAGCAGCAGGUGGCCACGGUGUGUUAGUCACCGAAGAGGAAGGUCUAAAAGCAGCAGGUGGCCACGGUGUGUUAGUCACCACCCGCUGGUGGUUAAUGAACUACGGCAGACAUGUAGAAUCCACUGCAAAUUAACAAAACAUGAGGCGAUAGGACGACCAACAGCCGCUGUCAGACGCUCUGGUGUGCUGCCUCUCGGAACCCCGUCUGUCUAUCUGGUGCAGGCGGUACUCGAUGGUGUUGUCUGUGUCGUACCCGUCUGUCUAUCUGGUGCAGGCGGUACUCGAUGGUGUUGCCUGUGUCGUACCCGUCUGUCUAUCUGGUGCAGGCGGUACUCGAUGGUGUUGUCUGUGUCGUACCCGUCUGUCUAUCUGGUGCAGGCGGUACUCGAUGGUGUUGUCUGUGUCGUACCCGUCUGUCUAUCUGGUGCAGGCGGUACUCGAUGGUGUUGUCUGUGUCGUACCCGUCUGUCUAUCUGGUGCAGGCGGUACUCGAUGGUGUUGUCUGUGUCGUACCCGUCUGUCUAUCUGGUGCAGGCGGUACUCGAUGGUGUUGUCUGUGUCAUACCCGUCUGUCUAUCUGGAGCAGGCAGUACUCCUGUGUGUGUGUGUGUGUGUGUGUGUGUGUGUGUGUGUGUGUGUGUGUGUGUGUGUGUGUGUGUGUGUGUGUGUCGUAGCUGCCUGUCUAUCUUGUGCAGGCAGUACUCCUGUGUGUGUUGUGUGUGUGUGUGUGUGUGUGUGUGUGUGUGUGUGUGUGUGUGUGUGUGUGUGUGUGUG